rnacentral:rRNA from 1 species
AGUCGAGCGGAUUGAUGGGAGCUUGCUCCCAUCAGUCAGCGGCGGACGGGUGAGUAACACGUGGGUAACCUGCCUGUAAGACUGGGAUAACUCCGGGAAACCGGGGCUAAUACCGGAUAACUCAUUUCCUCGCAUGAGGAAAUGUUGAAAGGUGGCUUUUAGCUAUCACUUACAGAUGGACCCGCGGCGCAUUAGCUAGUUGGUGAGGUAACGGCUCACCAAGGCGACGAUGCGUAGCCGACCUGAGAGGGUGAUCGGCCACACUGGGACUGAGACACGGCCCAGACUCCUACGGGAGGCAGCAGUAGGGAAUCUUCCGCAAUGGACGAAAGUCUGACGGAGCAACGCCGCGUGAGUGAUGAAGGUUUUCGGAUCGUAAAACUCUGUUGUUAGGGAAGAACAAGUACCGUUCGAAUAGGGCGGUACCUUGACGGUACCUAACCAGAAAGCCACGGCUAACUACGUGCCAGCAGCCGCGGUAAUACGUAGGUGGCAAGCGUUGUCCGGAAUUAUUGGGCGUAAAGCGCGCGCAGGUGGUUUCUUAAGUCUGAUGUGAAAGCCCACGGCUCAACCGUGGAGGGUCAUUGGAAA